AGCGAACGCUGGCGGCAGGCCUAACACAUGCAAGUCGAGCGCCCCGCAAGGGGAGCGGCAGACGGGAGAGUAACACGUGGGAACAUGCCCUUCAGUUCGGAACAACCCAGGGAAACUGGGGCUAAUACCGGAUACGUCGGUAAGGAGAAAGAUUUAUCGCUGAAGGAUUGGCCCGCGUCCGAUUAGCUAGUUGGUGAGGUAAUGGCGCACCAAGGUGACGAUCGGUAGCUGGUCUGAGAGGAUGAGCAGCCUCACUGGGACUGAGAAACGGCCCAGACUCCUACGGGAGGCAGCAGUGGGGAAUAUUGGACAAUGGGCGCAAGCCUGAUCCAGCCAUGCCGCGUGGGUGAUGAAGGCCCUAGGGUUGUAAAGCCCUUUCGGCGGGGAAGAUAAUGACGGUACCCGCAGAAGAAGCCCCGGCUAACUUCGUGCCAGCAGCCGCAGUAAAAC
rnacentral:rRNA from 1 species